UUUAAAAUAAGGAGGCUUUUAGCAAAGAAUUUGUAGACAUUUUAUUCCUUUCAUUGCUGCGAUGCAGCAUAUCUCUUAGAGAAAGCACAAAAAGUCCUUACAUUUCGUUGAACAUAAGAGUUAAGGACUAUUAGUUCCAAUUAUUUCAUGAAAAUGGUGGUGCAGGAUUUUCAACACUUGAAGAAGGAAUUCUAGAGGGGUUCCUAGAAGCUAUCAUCGAUCAGGAAGUGGAUGUGCAGAGCUGCUAUCUACCCACUGACCUGGAACAGUUUUUGGCCACUUUGGGAGAAGGCAAUGGUGAAACUUCUUACCCUGCUCUUUUGAACUAUGCUGCUGUCAGAUGUGGCUCUGGUUGACUCUACUCAGCUCUGCUUACUCUGCUUCAUGUCUGCUCACUUGGGAACCUGAACUGAAGGAACUGCUCCUAACUUGGACAUGCCAUUUUGGUAGCAGAGUGCAGAAGUGUGAUGCCAAAGCUGAAAUACUCAUUGUAGUUAAAGCUUCUGCUUGUAUUUUGUGUCUGCUCACAUUCUAUUGGUCAAAACAAGGUUAUAUAGCCACAAACAUUAUCAAUAAGGUAAUGUGUGUUGAUGAGACACGUCACUGGUCAGGACCAAAAGUACACCAUCUUGCAUCUUUUUUGGUAGUUAAAAGUAGAGCACUGGAAUUCAGCAGACAUGGAAUCAAAUAUCAGCCACAUCACUUCCUAGGUAAAUUGCUAGGUAAAUUUUGCUUUG